GGGGGCAACCCCAUGAGUACAGCGGCGCACGGGUGAGUAACACGUAGGUAACCUACCUAUGAGCCUGGGAUAACCUGCCGAAAGGCGGGCUAAUACCGGAUAAGACCACGGGGCCUGCGGUCCCUGGGGCAAAAGGUGGCCUCUCCAUGGAAGCUACUACUCGUAGAUGGGCCUGCGCGCCAUUAGCUAGUUGGCGGGGUAAUGGCCCACCAAGGCUUAGAUGGCUAGCUGGUCUGAGAGGAUGGCCAGCCACACUGGGACUGAGACACGGCCCAGACUCCUACGGGAGGCAGCAGUGGGGAAUAUUGCGCAAUGGGCGAAAGCCUGACGCAGCGACGCCGCGUGGGUGAUGAAGGCCUUCGGGUCGUAAAGCCCUGUCGGGAGGGACGAAACCUCGGUGACCCAAUACGUCAUCGACCUGACGGUACCUCCUAAGGAAGCACCGGCUAACUCCGUGCCAGCAGCCGCGGUAAUACGGAGGGUGCAAGCGUUGUUCGGAAUUACUGGGCGUAAAGCGCGUGUAGGCGGUUGCGUAAGUCUGAUGUGAAAGCCCGGGGCUCACCCCCGGAAGUGCAUUGGAAACUGCGCGACUAGAGUGUCGGAGAGGAGGGUGGAAUUCCUGGUGUAGCGGUGAAAUGCGUAGAUAUCAGGAGGAACACCGGUGGCGAAGGCGGCCCUCUGGACGAAUACUGACGCUGAGACGCGAAAGCGUGGGGAGCAAACAGGAUUAGAUACCCAGGUAGUCCACGCUGUAAACGAUGGGCACUAGGUGUUCGGGGUAUUGACCCCCUGAGUGCCGCAGCUAACGCAUUAAGUGCCCCGCCUGGGGACUACGGCCGCAAGGUUAAAACUCAAAGGAA
rnacentral:rRNA from 1 species